rnacentral:rRNA from 1 species
GAUGAACGCUGGCGGCGUGCCUAAUACAUGCAAGUCGAGCGAACAGAUAAGGAGCUUGCUCCCUUGACGUUAGCGGCGGACGGGUGAGUAACACGUGGGUAACCUACCUAUAAGGCUGGAAUAACUCCGGGAAACCGGGGCUAAUGCCGGAUAACAUUUAGAACCGCAUGGUUCUAAAGUGAAAGAUGGUUUUGCUAUCACUUAUAGAUGGACCCGCGCCGUAUUAGCUAGUUGGUAAGGUAACGGCUUACCAAGGCAACGAUACGUAGCCGACCUGAGAGGGUGAUCGGCCACACUGGAACUGAGACACGGUCCAGACUCCUACGGGAGGCAGCAGUAGGGAAUCUUCCGCAAAGGGCGAAAGCCUGACGGAGCAACGCCGCGUGAGUGAUGAAGGUCUUCGGAUCGUAAAACUCUGUUAUUAGGGAAGAACAAAUGUGUAAGUAACUGUGCACGUCUUGACGGUACCUAAUCAGAAAGCCACGGCUAACUACGUG